rnacentral:lncRNA from 1 species
CCCUCCCAUAUUUUUUUAUAGUAAAUCAAUUCUCUAACUGAUCUUUCACAAAAUAUUUCCUCAAAAUAUCACACAUAUAAAGAGAAAAAAAUUUAUUGGCAUGAAGAGGUUGAUUUGGAUGAGAACAGAUUCUCCUGAUAAAGAAUAUUUUGAAAUUAAAUUUUAGAACCAUUCUUUUAUUAAAACCAAAUCAGAUUUGGAUGUGAGAUAG